AUUUUUAAAAUACCACGGUGAGUGAAAUUAAGCCUCGUUAUUUUUAUUAGCGCUGCCAGCAAUACAAAUCGAAGGCACCUCUUUACAAGCAUUCGGCGCCAACGGCGAUCAUGGAAGGCUUUCACUCUGCCUUGGCAAGAAAAGAAACUCUGUAGAGCUUAGGGAAGAAUCCCCAGAAAGUGAAAAGGCAUGGAGGGUAACAAGCCCACAAUAGUAAUGUGUACAGUACUAGCCAUUGACAAUUCCAACCUUUUUUACAGAGCCUGCUCCCUCUGCGAGGGAACUCUUCCUGACGCUCCUAAUUCUCUCUGCAGAUUCUGUAACAGCUUCAACUCCUCCUCUUCCUCCUCUUCCAAGCGCCUCUUUCACCUCCUUGUUUCAAUAGCCACUGAUACCAAGGUGCUUAAUGUCGGCUGCUAGAGUCUUGUUUGGAUGCUCUGCUGAUGAAUUUUUUGACUUCGCCAAGAUGCACCCUUUUGCUGAAUGGUAAUGCACAACACUUGCGAGCAAUCUCAGUUUCGCCUUUGAGGACUGGUUUCCAGGCCGCAAUUGAGACCUUGAGGGAAUUGUAUGGGGUAAGAGCAAGUUCUUGAUUCUUCUCAUCAAUUCUUUGAUGUAAAGGGUAUUUAUUUUGCUUUAAACCAUAUGUUCUUUCCUUACUAGUAGUUUGGUAGAUGGUUUUCAGAUUGCUGUUGUCAUUCCUCUGUCUAUAGAAGUUGGAGCAGGCAGUUUGCAUUGCAUUGUUCCAAUGCUACUAGUGGAUUUAAAAAGGAAUUUUUUGUUGCUAA